GAUAAACGCUAGCGGCAGGCUUAACACAUGCAAGUCGAGGGGCAGCAUAGAUCGUAGCAAUACAAUUGGUGGCGACCGGCGCACGGGUGCGUAACGCGUAUGCAACCUACCCGUCACAGGGGGAUAAUCCGGAGAAAUCUGGUCUAAUACCCCAUAACAUAUGGAUCGGCAUCGGUUCAUGUUGAAAUUUUCGGAGGUGACGGAUGGGCAUGCGUAGCAUUAGCUUGUUGGUGAGGUAACGGCUCACCAAGGCGACGAUGCUUAGGGGGACUGAGAGGUUUUCCCCCCAGACAGGUACUGAGACACGGACCAGACUCCUACGGGAGGAAGCAGUGUGGAAUAUUGGUCAAUGGGCGCAAGCUUUAACCAGCCAUGCCGCGUGCAGGAUGACGGCUCUAUGAGUUGUAAACUGCUUUUGUACCAGGGUAAAGUGGGUUACGUGUAACCUUUUGAAAGUAUCGUACGAAUAAGGAUCGGCUAACUCCGUGCCAGCAGCCGCCGUAA
rnacentral:rRNA from 1 species